rnacentral:rRNA from 1 species
AGCGUGCAGUCGGCAAGUACCAUGAGCAGGCAUGUUAGGACCCGAAAGAUGGUGAACUAUGCCUGGCCAGGAUGAAGCCAGAGGAAACUCUGGUGGAGGUCCGUAGCGAUUCUGACGUGCAAAUCGAUCGUCGGAGCUGGGUAUAGGGGCGAAAGACUAAUCGAACCAUCUAGUAGCUGGUUCCCUCCGAAGUUUCCCUCAGGAUAGCUGGAACUCGACAUGAGAUGAAUUUCAUCCGGUAAAGCGAAUGAUUAGAGGUCUUGGGGACGAAACGUCCUCAACCUAUUCUCAAACUUUAAAUGGGUGAGAUGCCGAGCUUGCUUAGAUGAUGAAGCCUCGGCGAAGAAUCGGAGUUCCUAGUGGGCCACUUUUGGUAAGCAGAACUGGCGCUGUGGGAUGAACCAAACGUCGAGUUAAGGGGCCUAAAUGAAUGCUCAUUCAGAUCCCAUCGAAAGGUGUUGGUUGCUAUAGACAGCAGGACGGUGGCCAUGGAAGKUGGAAUCCGCUAAGGAGUGUGUAACAACUCACCUGCCGAAGCAACUAGCCCUUAAAAUGGUAUGGCGCUCAAGCAUUCUCCCGAUACUCGACCGCCGGGGCACUACCGGCCCGGGCAAGUGAGUCCGGGUCUCGAAGCCCCGGUGAGUAGGAGGGUCGCGGUGGUGAGCGCUGAAGGGUUCGGCGUGAGCCGGCCUGGAGCCUCCACUGGUGCAGAUCUUGGUGGUAGUAGCAAAUAUUCGAGAGAGACUCCCUUGAAGGCCGAAGUGGAGAAGGGUUCCAUGUGAACAUCAGUUGGACAUGGGUUAGUCGCUCCUAAGCCCAAGGCGAAGGCCUGAUCCCACCUUAGAGGCAACGACCACAAGCACGCAAGAGACUAGAAGAGAAGUUGGUGGGACGAUGAAGAUGAAGGUGAUGAUGUUGUUCCUUUCCUCCUCCUUGUCGUCUUCCUCCCCACCACCAAGACUUCUUGGUAGUCUGCUUAAAAUGUUGGGCGCCUGCGAAUUGUCAAUGGCUUGUCCUGCCUUGACAGCCCACAGGGAGUUGCCAGGCGGGAUUAGAGGCGAAAGGGAAUACGGUCAUUAUUCCGUAACCAGGACCCGGAUGCCAAACAGGUGUAAGCGCCCUUGCACCCUCCAAAGGGCAGGGGAAGGCUGCCCUGUGCAGGAGCCCGGUAACGGGAACCAGCUCGCGUCCGUCGGCGGUGGUCCGGGAAAGAGUUUUCUUUUCUGUUUAAGGCGCCGUGACCCUGGAAGCCAUUCGCAGAGAGAAAGGGUGUUUGUAACACGGACUGCCGUAGAGCGCCGCGGUUCUUGCGGCGUCCCGAGCGCCACCGCCGGCCCGUGAAACACGCGAGGGCGGUAACUGAGGUAGAGCGGACUCCCCAAAGUCCGCGAAGCCUAUUUUCGGGCCAGUGCGUACCCAUAUCC